AUGUACCACGCGUACAUGCAGAUUCCUGCGCACCGUCUGCAGCCACCUGACGGCUGCGUGCUGCGUUUUGCUAGCC
rnacentral:sRNA from 1 species